rnacentral:rRNA from 1 species
UGGGGAAUAUUGGACAAUGGGCGAAAGCCUGAUCCAGCCAUGCCGCGUGUGUGAAGAAGGUCUUCGGAUUGUAAAGCACUUUAAGUUGGGAGGAAGGGCAGUAAGCGAAUACCUUGCUGUUUUGACGUUACCGACAGAAUAAGCACCGGCUAACUCUGUGCCAGCAGCCGCGGUAAUACAGAGGGUGCAAGCGUUAAUCGGAAUUACUGGGCGUAAAGCGCGCGUAGGUGGUUCGUUAAGUUGAAUGUGAAAGCCCCGGGCUCAACCUUGGAACUGCAUCCAAAACUUGCGAGCUAGAGUAGGGCAGAGGGUGGUGGAAUUUCCUGUGUAGCGGUGAAAUGCGUAGAUAUAGGAAGGAACACCAGUGGCGAAGGCGACCACCUGGGCUCAUACUGACACUGAGGUGCGAAAGCGUGGGGAGCAAACAGG